UGGGGAAUUUUGGACAAUGGGCGAAAGCAUGAUCCAGCCAUUCCGCGUGAGUGAAGAAGGCCUUCGGGUUGUAAAGCUCUUUCGCNAGGGAAGAAACGAUGUGGGUUAAUAGCCUAUGUUAAUGACGGUACCUUGAUAAGAAGCACCGGCUAACUAC
rnacentral:rRNA from 1 species